AGUUUUUAAUUUCUUUCCGGAGGUAUUGUAUUUAGGUAUUAAAAGAAAAUGGUGCGAAAUCGUAAGAGGAAGACGGAUUACGGUCUUCAUAGUGAAAAAGAUAUGGCAGAAGCGAUUAUGAUGGUUGAAAGUGGCGUGAGUCUUCGAAAGUGGCGUGAGUCUUCGAAAAGCAGCAAAUGCAAAGCAAGUCAGACAGAUGUCUAUAAGUUCCCAAAGGAUAUUUUAAAGAAAUUUAAUAUUUGUUAGAACUUUUUCUUUUAUUGUUAGUUUUUCUAUUACUGUUUUAAAUGUUGUAACAUUGAGCCCCUGACUCUGUAACAGACUACCCCAGAUACGGGGCUAAGUGUUACAAUCGACUGAUUUAAUUAAUGUGCAAUUUAAAUUAAGUAGUUGCUAAUAAUGUUAAUGUUUGAGUUAUUUUAAUUAAAGAGAGAUUGUUAAAGUUUAUUUCCUUGCCAAAAAUAUGCUGAUUAAUACAAUAUUGUU